rnacentral:rRNA from 1 species
GACGAACGCUGGCGGCGUGCCUAAUACAUGCAAGUCGAACGCAGUGGGGACGGGUGAGUAACACGUGGGUAACCUCCCAUCAGAGGGGAUAACACUUGGAAACAGGUGCUAAACCGAUACUGAUGGAUGGACCCGCGGUGCAUUAGCUAGUUGGUGAGGUAACGGAUCACCAAGGCCACGAUGCAUAGCCGACCUUGAUGGGUGAUCUGCCACACUGGGACUGAGCCACGGCCCAGACUCCUCCGGGAGGCAGCGGUGGGGAAUCUUCGGCAAUGGACGAAAGUCUGACCGGGCAACGCCGCGUGAGUGAUGAAGGUUUUCGGAUCGUAAAACUCUGUUGUUAGAGAAGCGGUAUCUAACCAGAAAGCCACGGCUAACUACGUGCCAGCCGCCGCGGUAAUAC